rnacentral:rRNA from 1 species
AGCAUAUCAAUAAGCGGAGGAAAAGAAACCAACAGGGAUUGCCCUAGUAACGGCGAGUGAAGCGGCAACAGCUCAAAUUUGAAAUCUGGCCCUAGCGGUCCGAGUUGUAAUUUGUAGAGGAUGCUUUUGGUUAGGUGCCUUCUGAGUUCCCUGGAACGGGACGCCAGAGAGGGUGAGAGCCCCGUACGGUUGGACACCGAGCCUCUAUAUAGCUCCUUCGACGAGUCGAGUAGUUUGGGAAUGCUGCUCUAAAUGGGAGGUAAAUUUCUUCUAAAGCUAAAUACCGGCCAGAGACCGAUAGCGCACAAGUAGAGUGAUCGAAAGAUGAAAAGUACUUUGAAAAGAGGGUUAAAUAGCACGUGAAAUUGUUGAAAGGGAAGCGUUUGCGACCAGACUUUUUCCAGGCGGAUCAUCCGGUGUUCUCACCGGUGCACUUCGCCUGGUUUAGGCCAGCAUCGGUUCUCUUAGGGGGAUAAAGGCCUGGGGAACGUAGCUCCUUCGGGAGUGUUAUAGCCCCUAGCGUAAUACCCUUCGGGGGACCGAGGAACGCGCAUCUGCAAGGAUGCUGGCGUAAUGGUCGUCAACGACCCGU